rnacentral:rRNA from 1 species
AACGAACGCUGGCGGCAUGCCUAACACAUGCAAGUCGAACGAGACCUUCGGGUCUAGUGGCGCACGGGUGCGUAACGCGUGGGAACCUGCCCUUAGGUUCGGAAUAACUCCCCGAAAGGGGUGCUAAUACCGGAUAAUGUCUUCGGACCAAAGAUUUAUCGCCUUUGGAUGGGCCCGCGUUGGAUUAGCUAGUUGGUAGGGUAAAAGCCUACCAAGGCGACGAUCCAUAGCUGGUCUGAGAGGAUGAUCAGCCACACUGGGACUGAGACACGGCCCAGACCUCCGGGGGGGGGAGGGGGGGGAAAUAGGGGAAAGGGGGAGAGCGCGAUACCCAGAAGCCCCGUGAGAGAGAAAGGGCUUAUGGGGUUAAAGCGCUUUUUCCCGGGGGAUUAUAAACAGUACCGGGAGAAAAAGCUCCCGGUAAAUCCCU